UACGGAGGGUGCGAGCGUUGUCCGGAAUCACGUGGGCGUAAAGGGCGCGUAGGCGGCCUGAUAAGUAGGGGGUGAAAUCCUGCGGCUUAACCGCAGGGCUGCCUUCUAAACUGUCAGGCUCGAGCACAGUAGAGGCAGGUGGAAUUCCCGGUGUAGCGGUGGAAUGCGUAGAGAUCGGGAAGAACAUCAGUGGCGAAGGCGGCUAUCUGGGCUGAAACUGACGCUGAGGCGCGAAGGCUAGGGGAGCAAACAGG
rnacentral:rRNA from 1 species